rnacentral:rRNA from 1 species
UUUGAUAGUGCCUUACUACUUGGAUAACCGUGGUAAUUCUAGAGCUAAUACAUGCUAAAAACCCCGACUUCGGAAGGGGUGUAUUUAUUAGAUACAAAACCAAUGCCCUUCGGGGCUUCUUGGUGAUUCAUGAUAACUAUACGAAUCGCACGGCCUUGCGCCGGCGAUGGUUCAUUCAAAUUUCUUCCCUAUCAACUUUCGAUGUUUGGGUAUUGGCCAAACAUGGUUGCAACGGGUAACGGAGGGUUAGGGCUCGACCCCGGAGAAGGAGCCUGAGAAACGGCUACUACAUCCAAGGAAGGCAGCAGGCGCGCAAAUUACCCAAUCCCGACUCGGGGAGGUAGUGACAAUAAAUACUGAUACAGGGCCCUUUCGGGCCUUGUAAUUGGAAUGAGUACAAUUUAAAUCCCUUAACGAGGAACAAUUGGAGGGCAAGUCUGGUGCCAGCAGCCGCGGUAAUUCCAGCUCCAAUAGCGUAUAUUAAAGUUGUUGUGGUUAAAAAGCUCGUAGUUGAACCUUGGGCCUGGCUGGCCGGUCCGCCUCACCGCGUGCACUGGUCCGGCCGGGCCUUUCCCUCUGUGGAACCCCAUACCCUUCACUGGGCGUGGCGGGGAAACAGGACAUUUACUUUGAAAAAAUUAGAGUGCUCCAGGCAGGCCUAUGCUCGAAUACAUUAGCAUGGAAUAAUAAAAUAGGACGCGCGGUUCUAUUUUGUUGGUUUAUAGGACCGCCGUAAUGAUUAAUAGGGACAGUCGGGGGCAUCAGUAUUCAACUGUCAGAGGUGAAAUUCUUGGAUCAGUUGAAGACUAACUACUGCGAAAGCAUUUGCCAAGGAUGUUUUCAUUAAUCAGGAACGAAAGUUAGGGGAUCGAAGACGAUCAGAUACCGUCGUAGUCUUAACCAUAAACUAUGCCGACUAGGGAUCGGACGGUGUUAUUCAUGACCCGUUCGGCACCUUACGAGAAAUCAAAGUGCUUGGGCUCCAGGGGGAGUAUGGUCGCAAGGCUGAAACUUAAAGAAAUUGACGGAAGGGCACCACCAGGGGUGGAGCCUGCGGCUUAAUUUGACUCAACACGGGGAAACUCACCAGGUCCAGACACAAUAAGGAUUGACAGAUUGAGAGCUCUUUCUUGAUUUUGUGGGUGGUGGUGCAUGGCCGUUCUUAGUUGGUGGG